rnacentral:rRNA from 1 species
AUGAACGCUGGCGGCGUGCCUAAUCCAUGCACGUCGAACGCUUCACUUCGGUGAAGAGUGGCGAACGGGUGAGUAAUACAUAAGUAACCUGGCAUCUACAGGGGGAUAACUGAUGGAAACGUCAGCUAAGACCGCAUAGGUGUAGAGAUCGCAUGAACUCUAUAUGAAAAGUGCUACGGGACUGGUAGAUGAUGGACUUAUGGCGCAUUAGCUUGUUGGUAGGGUAACGGCCUACCAAGGCGACGAUGCGUAGCCGACCUGAGAGGGUGACCGGCCACACUGGGACUGAGACACGGCCCAGACUCCUACGGGAGGCAGCAGUAGGGAAUUUUCGGCAAUGGGGGAAACCCUGACCGAGCAACGCCGCGUGAAGGAAGAAGUAAUUCGUUAUGUAAACUUCUGUCAUAGAGGAAGAACGGUGGAUAUAGGGAAUGAUAUCCAAGUGACGGUACUCUAUAAGAAAGCCACGGCUAACUACGUG